rnacentral:rRNA from 1 species
AACGAACGCUGGCGGCGUGCUUAACACAUGCAAGUCGAACGAUGAAGCCCAGCUUGCUGGGUGGAUUAGUGGCGAACGGGUGAGUAACACGUGAGUAACCUGCCCUGGACUCUGGGAUAACCCCGAGAAAUCGGAGCUAAUACCGGAUAGGACCUUUCCUCGCAUGAGGUUUGGUGGAAAGUUUUUCGGUUUGGGAUGGACUCGCGGCCUAUCAGCUUGUUGGUGAGGUAAUGGCUCACCAAGGCGUCGACGGGUAGCCGGCCUGAGAGGGUGACCGGCCACACUGGGACUGAGACACGGCCCAGACUCCUACGGGAGGCAGCAGUGGGGAAUAUUGCACAAUGGGCGCAAGCCUGAUGCAGCAACGCCGCGUGCGGGAUGACGGCCUUCGGGUUGUAAACCGCUUUUAGUAGGGAAGAAGCCUUCGGGUGACGGUACCUGCAGAAAAAGGACCGGCUAACUACGUGCCAGCAGCCGCCGUAAGAC